GGGCCCGUAGUCUAGCUUGGUAGGAUGCCCGCCUCACGAUACCUAGGCUGAACGCCUAGGCAUUGGAUCGCGGGAGAUCCCGGGUUCAAGUCCCGGCGGGCCCA
rnacentral:tRNA from 1 species